UACGUAGGGGGCGAGCGUUGUCCGAAGUUACUGGCGUAAAGCGCGCGUAGGCGGCUUUCUUAAGUCUAGGGUGAAAGGUUCAGAGCUCGAACGCGAACAGUGCCUUGGAUACUGGGAGGCUUGAAUGUGGCAGAGGGAUAGUGGAAUGGCUGGUGUAGCGGUGAAAUGCGUAGAUAUCAGUCGGAACACCCAUGGCGAAGGCAGCUAUCUGGGCUAACAUUUGACGCUGAGGUGCGAAAGCGUGGGGAGCGAACGGG
rnacentral:rRNA from 1 species